GAACGGUUCCUUCGGGGACAGUGGCAGACGGGUGAGUAACGCGUGGGAACGUGCCCUUCGGUUCGGAAUAACUCAGGGAAACUUGAGCUAAUACCGGAUACGUCCGAGAGGAGAAAGAUUUAUCGCCGAAGGAUCGGCCCGCGUCUGAUUAGCUAGUUGGUGUGGUAACGGCGCACCAAGGCGACGAUCAGUAGCUGGUCUGAGAGGAUGAUCAGCCACACUGGGACUGAGACACGGCCCAGACUCCUACGGGAGGCAGCAGUGGGGAAUAUUGGACAAUGGGCGCAAGCCUGAUCCAGCCAUGCCGCGUGAGUGAUGAAGGCCCUAGGGUUGUAAAGCUCUUUUAUCCGGGACGAUAAUGACGGUACCGGAAGAAUAAGCCCCGGCUAACUUCGUGCCAGCAGCCGCGGUAAUACGAAGGGGGCUAGCGUUGCUCGGAAUCACUGGGCGUAAAGGGCGCGUAGGCGGACGUUUAGGUCAGGGGUGAAAUCCCGGGGCUCAACCUCGGAAUUGCCUUUGAUACUGGAUGUCUCGAGACCGGAAGAGGUAAGUGGAACUGCGAGUGUAGAGGUGAAAUUCGUAGAUAU
rnacentral:rRNA from 1 species